GAUGAACGCUGGCGGCGUGCCUAAUACAUGCAAGUCGAGCGAACGGACGAGAAGCUUGCUUCUCUGAUGUUAGCGGCGGACGGGUGAGUAACACGUGGAUAACCUACCUAUAAGACUGGGAUAACUUCGGGAAACCGGAGCUAAUACCGGAUAAUAUUUUGAACCGCAUGGUUCAAAGGUGAAAGACGGUCUUGCUGUCACUUAUAGAUGGAUCCGCGCUGCAUUAGCUAGUUGGUAAGGUAACGGCUUACCAAGGCAACGAUGCAUAGCCGACCUGAGAGGGGGAUCGGCCACACUGGAACUGAGACACGGUCCAGACUCCUACGGGAGGCAGCAGUAGGGAAUCUUCCGCAAUGGGCGAAAGCCUGACGGAGCAACGCCGCGUGAGUGAUGAAGGUCUUCGGAUCGUAAAACUCUGUUAUUAGGGAAGAACAUAUGUGUAAGUAACUGUGCACAUCUUGACGGUACCUAAUCAGAAAGCCACGGCUAACUACGUG
rnacentral:rRNA from 1 species